rnacentral:lncRNA from 1 species
GGGCAGAGUCCGUGACUAGGCCUCUAGCCCCAGGGACCUAGGCGAGGACAGGCACUCCUGCUUUUCCAAGAGCACCCUGGCCCGCCACGCCCCCAGCCUGGGCCUAUAAACACCCACGACCCUAGCAAGGCAGAGACAGAAGCUGCUGGAGGGCGAGAGGAACGCAUCAGUGGAAGAAGACAGAAGCGGCUGGUCACGGAGAGCAUGUCAGCAGAAGAACACACCUACAGACGCCGGCUCGCCCGCGGGCUCCCCGGCAGGCCAUCGACCGGUGGGACGAGGUGGAGUUUGUCCUGGGCAGUAGGAGGACAGCCCGGGCACCCAGCGGCCCAACUCCAGGGGAAAGCCAUCUCCCUUCUGGAGCUGCCCAACUCCGGGGGAAAACCAUCUCCUUUCUGACUCUCCUGUCGGUGGAGAGUUACUUCCACUCAAUACGAUUUUGCAGUCAUUCUCCAAGCCCACGUGUGAUCCGAUUCUUCCGGUACACCAAGGCAAGAACCCGGGAUACAGAAAGCCCUCUGGCCUUAUGACAAGGUAGAGGGUCUAACUGAGCUAUAGACCGUGAACUAAGAGCGCACCCUGGAACACACGCCCUCUGGGGCUUCAGCUGUAAACAUCCACCCUUAGACACUGCCAUGGGGUUGGAGCCCCACAACCUGCCCAUCUCUAUGCCCCACUAGAGGUAUGACCAACGGGGCACUGAAGAGGCGAGCACACCCCAUCGCACGCCCUGCAAGGGGGACGGGGGAACCUUUCCCAUUUCAACACCACCGCUGUGGCUGCAUGUGGCUGCCAUAAGAAAAAGAACCCAUUCUUUGGCACAGCUGAAGCAGGACUCUUCUCGUUGUUCUCCAGAGUCUGGCUGGCCUGGAACGUGCCAUGACUGUACAAUAUGAUAGGAGGGAGACUGUACCAGCUCCAAGCCAGCUUUUCUGAUACCUGCAGCUUCUGAUUCCUCUGGAGGAGAAGUCAGCUACUAGCAGAGUCAACUUUGAGCCCUGUUGCAAUGGUUCUUCUUCUAAGAAAA